rnacentral:rRNA from 1 species
AUUGAACGCUGGCGGAAUGCUUUACACAUGCAAGUCGAACGGUAACAGGUCUUCGGAUGCUGACGAGUGGCGAACGGGUGAGUAAUAUAUCGGAACGUACCUUAUCGUGGGGGAUAACGCAGCGAAAGCUGUGCUAAUACCGCAUACGCCCUGAGGGGAAAGCGGGGGAUCGAAAGACCUCGCGCGAUUAGAGCGGCCGAUGCCUGAUUAGCUUGUUGGUGGGUAAAAGCCCACCAAGGCGACGAUCAGUAGCUGGUCUGAGAGGACGAUCAGCCACACUGGGACUGAGACACGGCCCAGACUCCUACGGGAGGCAGCAGUGGGGAAUUUUGGACAAUGGGCGAAAGCCUGAUCCAGCAAUGCCGCGUGAGUGAUGAAGGCCUUAGGGUUGUAAAGCACUUUCAGCGAGGAGGAAAGGUCAGUAGCUAAUAUCUGCUGGCUGUGACGUUACUCGCAGAAGAAGCACCGGCUAACUCCGUGCC